AACGAACGCCGGCGGCAGGCCUAACACAUGCAAGUCGAACGCACCGCAAGGUGAGUGGCGCACGGGUGAGUAACACGUGGGAAUGUACCCUUUGGUUCGGAAUAACGUUUGGAAACGAACGCUAAUACCGGAUGAGCCCUGUGGGGGAAAGAUUUAUCGCCAAAGGAGCAGCCCGCGUCUGAUUAGCUAGUUGGUGGGGUAAAGGCCUACCAAGGCGACGAUCAGUAGCUGGUCUGAGAGGAUGAUCAGCCACACUGGGACUGAGACACGGCCCAGACUCCUACGGGAGGCAGCAGUGGGGAAUAUUGGACAAUGGGCGCAAGCCUGAUCCAGCCAUGCCGCGUGAGUGAUGAAGGCCUUCGGGUUGUAAAGCUCUUUCGCACACGACGAUGAUGACGGUAGUGUGAGAAGAAGCCCCGGCUAACUUCGUGCCAGCCGCCGCGGUAAUAC
rnacentral:rRNA from 1 species